CCCUUUGGUUCGGAAUAACAGUUGGAAACGACUGCUAAUACCGGAUGAUGACGUAAGUCCAAAGAUUUAUCGCCAGAGGAUGAGCCCGCGUAGGAUUAGCUAGUUGGUGUGGUAAGAGCGCACCAAGGCGACGAUCCUUAGCUGGUCUGAGAGGAUGAUCAGCCACACUGGGACUGAGACACGGCCCAGACUCCUACGGGAGGCAGCAGUGGGGAAUAUUGGACAAUGGGCGAAAGCCUGAUCCAGCAAUGCCGCGUGAGUGAUGAAGGCCUUAGGGUUGUAAAGCUCUUUUACCCGGGAUGAUAAUGACAGUACCGGGAGAAUAAGCUCCGGCUAACUCCGUGCCAGCAGCCGCGGUAAUACGGAGGGAGCUAGCGUUGUUCGGAAUUACUGGGCGUAAAGCGCACGU
rnacentral:rRNA from 1 species